UGAAAUAAUUUAUUUUAUAUCCUCAUCAAAUUCCUUGAAAGUGGAAAAUUCACAUAGUGGAAAAUUAGGUUAGCAGUUACCCAAUUGUCGUGUCUAGCUUUCUUUUCUAUUCUCAAUGGCUCUGAUGACUCUAGGACAUUUGACACCCUAGACUGCUCUUAUUUUUUUUACCUCCCUCAUUUAAAUUAAUUUCACAUACUCAUGGAAUAAAAUACAUAGGCAUCAUAAAACCUUUAUACACAUAUAGCUGUAACUGUCUCUUAGUAAUCCAAAUCAGCAUGGCAUUUUACCCAAAUUCUAGUCCCAUCACUAAAUUGCUUUAUAGUUAUAAUGUAUAUUCACAUUUCAUUUCAUCCUCACUAACUCAUAAGGUAUGUGGAACAAGAAUUGUCCCUAUUUUAUAGCUAAGUAAAUAGGCUCAGGUUGUUACUGCCAAAGGUCACACACAGGUACAUUACCUUGGUAGUAUCACAUGUACUGACACUGCCUUUUCAUGGUUACGAAACUUCAUAUUAGGUGAGUCAUCUCUAUUAGCCUCUUUUUUUUUUUUUUAAUUUAUUUUUGGCUACGUUGGGUCUUCAUUUGCUGCUCGCAGGCUUUCUCUAGUUGUGGCGAGCAGGGGCCACUCUUCAUGGUGACAGGCGGGCUUUUCAUUGCGGUGGCUUCUUGUUGAAGAGCACGGGCUCUAGGCACACAGACUUCAGUAGUUGUGGCACGUGGGCUCAGUAGUUGUGGCUCUCAGGCUAUAGAGCAUAGGCUCAGUAGUUGUGGCACACGGGCUUAGUUGCUCCACGGCAUGUGGGAUCUUCCCGGACCAGGGCUCGAACCUGUGUCCCCUGCAUCGGCAGGCAGAUUCUUAGCCACUGCACCACCAGGGAAGUCCCUAUUAGCCUCUUUAUAUAACUCCCACACGUCCUUUUGUUGCUAAAGACAGGGCCUUUAGCACUAGGCCUCUGCACUAAUGCAGCCCUCACAAGUGGAGCCUACAUGUUCUUCACACUGUCCACAGCAGAGGCUUUGUGGUCUUGGUAUCUUCCAGAUCUGCAUUCUCCAUUUCCACACCUGAUUCUGGGUACUGUUUGAGAAAAUCACACACUUCUAUUGAUUGCACCCCUGUAAACUUAUCUUUGAUUCAACUGAAUCAGCAGAAACCCUGUGCAAUUGUCCUAUUAUAUAUUCAUUCUCUCCCUGUUUUCCUCGUGGUUAAUUUAGAAGGUCAUCAUGCUCCUCAAGCUUGUAUCACUGGUCUCCCCUGCUCUCACAGCAGAUGACCUUGCCUCCCAUUUCAGAUAGGAAUUUUCUACUUCCUGAAUACAAGGAAGGUUUUUGUCAAAACCUUUGAACUUCACAGAACUUCUUUCUGUGAAGUUCUAGGCAUCAUAAAACCUUUUGUCCCUACCUUCAACAAUGUUGUUCUUAAUUCAGAUAUGAUUCAGAAUGUUCAGUUACAUCGAAACGUAGCUCCAGAUGUUACAGAUGCCCCAGCAUGGUCAAUCUAACACCCAUUCCCAACCCCCUUGUCCUCUGCCUCCCUCUCCCAUAGAAAAUGAAAGAUAAAAAUGCUUGCUUUCAUUUCAGUGCAGGAACUUUGCAUUGGGAGCUACACUCCAACAGAACACGUUCACUGCCUAAGUUCUGGAAAUUAUGGCUUUUCUUAUUCAGUUUAUAAGUUUAAUGAAAUUCAGGAUACCUACCUGAAUCAGGCAGGGGUAAUACGUCUGGACCAAGAGAUGACAAAUCUUUCCAGUUUGCGAUAAUAGGGGAAAUCUAUAGAUUUCUGAGUCACCUGCCUAUGGUAUGAGUUGGGGCAUGCCGUAUUGUCUGUAAGACAAGAAUUUCUUGUUCUUUUUACUGCUUAAUGUUGGAAGACAGCCUAAGGGUCUGAUUUCUCUGUUGAUGCUGCUUAACAGAAUCGUAGACACAUUAGCUCUUCUGUGCCUUAAGUUUCCUCAUCUGCAAACUGACCUUAAUUAUAUUAGUCCUUAGGGUUAUUGUGAGGCAUACACAAGUGAAUGUGCUUGGCGUGUUGCCUUGCACUCAGUAAAUCCUUAAAUGUUAGCUAAUUUUGAACUGGUUGGACAGGGCAAUUUGUCAAAUUAACAGUUGGGCAGAUUGCAUGGAAGGGAGAGGACGCUUACUGGAAUGACUUUUUUUAACUGAAGUGAUGUAGUGGGAGAGAAGUGCCUGGAAUUAGAGAUUUAUAUCCAUGACUCAGGUCCAUAAUUCUAAUAACUCACUCAUGAGGUGAUGUCUCAUUCUCUGUUAGUGACCAGGACCAAGAAUCAAUGAAGUACAACCUUCACCAAUGCCAUUUACUUUGAGAGCUUUUUUGAGACGUUUGGUCAAAAGGUUAAAUGGGCACCUAAUUUUCAUAGACUCAUCAUCUAAAUAUGUCUAACUUUUCCAGUAACCUAACAGACAUAGUUUUGUUUUGUUUUGUUUUGUUUUGUUUUUUUGUGGUACGCGGGCCUCUCACCGGUGCGGCCCCUCCUGCCGCGGAGCACAGGCUCCGGACGCGCAGGCCCAGUGGCUACGGCCCACGGGCCCAGCCGUUCCGCGGCACGCGGGAUCCUCCCGGACCAGGGCACGAACCCGUGCCCCCCACAUCGGCAGGCAGAAUCCCAACUGCUGUGCCACCAGGGAAGCCCAACAGACAUAGUUUUUAAUACUGUAUUUACUAGGAUUAUGCCAGCCCUAACCAACUUGUCCUGAACCUUUGAGGGUAAUCUCAAGAAAGGAGACAUAUCAAUAUGGAAAUACAUGCAUUAGAGGCAGUUUAGAGUAGGAAAUGUUUAGGAGGUUGGCUCCAGCCCACCACUAUUCCCUGUCCCAGAAAGAUUUAUCUGUAGGCUUAAUCCAGGUUAUAGCAGAGUCCACCUGUAAGCUUCUUACCUCACAAUGGUUGCUAACUUGUCUUGAGUAAUAUUCAGUAGUUAUAGGGCUAAAGAAUGUUGGUUCUGGAAACCAGCACCUCAUAUAAUUCUUGGAUGGGGCAUGUGUGAUAUAAGAAAAUAUCACUAUGCUAGCCAAACAAACACUGUAUGCUGUGUACACAGGUUAGAGACUGGGAAGAGAUCUAUGAGAAGACUUUUAACUUACAAGCCUCCUGAAUCAGACUAGGUUCAUUUGCCCAACUCGCAGCAAGCCAAAUGCUGAGACGCCAAGGUUUGCAGCAGAGAAACGAUUUAUACACAAGGCAGCCAAGCGAGGAGACGGGAGAACAAGUCUUAAAUCCACUUUCAUGAAGCUCUGAAGUUUUGACACCCUUUCUCCACAUGGAAGUUGUUCCUCACCAAUCAAACUUGGAGAACCCACCCUUUGAGCUAAUAGAUUUCCAUAUUAAAUUCAUCUGGGCCAAGGACCCCAUCUUAUACUUCUGCAUCCAUCAUAGCACCAAGUACAAUGUAAAG